CAGGCAGCCACCUGGCUUGAGACUGGCCUGGCUUUGCCGGUUCCUUUGGCAGCUUCCAAGACCCGAGGGUAGGAGUCCUAGGCAGCUGGGACCUGCCAGGCCAUCCUGAAGCCCCCAGCUCACUACCAAGGGAGCCCAGUUCCUAUCUGAGAGGACCACCUCUGCCUGAAGCUGGAAUCUGAUGCUUGUUGGGCCAACAACUGAAACCAGGCGGUGGUAGCUUCACACUGCUGUUCUGUUCCCUGAAGUAGGAUGUGACUGUGACACUUGUCUCAGCCAGUGGGAUGUGAGGAAAAGCAAGCUGUGCCAGCCCCAGUACGAAGCUUUGAGACUAAGAGCUUCUUUAUGGAAACAAGGGUGAGUAUAGAGUCACCGUGGUGAGGAGCGCCCCCUGCUGAACAAGGAGGGACAUGCACUGUAAGAGAGCUAGAAACCAGCUAAGCAGAGCCAGGCUUGGGCGUUUCGUCUCAUCAGUUGGGACAGGCUUCCUAAAAACAUCACACGUUUCCCCAAGACCAGCAUUGGUUCUGUCAUCAUCUCUAAUGUUACCUACAUACAAAUUUUCUUGCACCAAGUCACUUCUUUUUACUUGGAUUUGUUUUAUAACCUUUUAUUAAUUUCUUUUUUAACUUUUUGAGGUAGGGCCUCACAUAGCCCAAGCUGGCCUAGAACUCGCUGAGUAGCUGAGAGUGACUGUGAACUUCUGCUCCCACUGGUUCCACCUCCCUCGUGCCGGCAUCACAGGACUGUGACCCUAAGGCCGGUUUUUAUACAGUGUGGAGAUGGGGUGCUCACACAUGCUAGGCAAACACCCUACUGUUGGGCUACAUCUCCAGCUCCUAGAUUUAUUUUCAAAGGAAAUGUUAUUCCCAUCAAGUGAAAAUCAUCCCCUAAGUAGAAAGCAAUGGAAAAUAAUCAGAAUGAAAUAAACCAUUUUGUUACA